AAGAAAGCUUUGAAAAGAAGAGUACAUGUUAAGGACGUUUGAAGAGAGCCCUGUUUGCUGAGAAUGGGUAACAGAUUUAAGAUGGAAGAUGGUCUUUGAGCAGAGUAAGUGAGCGAAGCAGUGAACUUACUACGGGGCGCCCGUUACAGCCAACGGUAUGCGAAGAAUCAAGUACCGUAUGAGGUUAUUAUUGAGAAAUAAUAGCGAAUUAAGGUGGUAUCACGAAAUGACAAACUUUCGUCCUUUUU
rfam:Mycobacterium abscessus strain PAP053 genome assembly, contig: ERS075544SCcontig000042